AAAGGAGAGACGAUAGCAGAAAAUCAAAUCUAAUUUGGAAGGUAGCUUCUCGGUUUUUCCCUUUUUCUUCGCUUUCUCCUUAUUCUUCUCUAUUUGGGUGAGCCAAUCGGCUUUCUGGGGUUUGCAUGUAAGGUUGAAGGUAACUCCGAUGAAGGGACCAUGUUGGUUAUCCGUUUCCGGUCCCGAGGAGGUCGGUCAAAGCCUGCAAUCCAAUCUGUCAAAACAAAAAAUGGAUCAUGAUUAUUGUUUUUCUUUGUUAUUUUUGGUGU
rnacentral:lncRNA from 1 species